rnacentral:tRNA from 1 species
GCGGGCGUGGCGGAAUGGCAGACGCGGCAGACUCAAAAUCUGUUGUCCGAAAGGACGUGGGAGUUCAAGUCUCCCCGCCCGCACCA